rnacentral:rRNA from 1 species
CAGGCUGCAACUCGCCUGCACGAAGCCGGAGUUGCUAGUAAUCGCGGAUCAGAAUGCCGCGGUGAAUGCGUUCCCGGGUCUUGUACACACCGCCCGUCACACCAUGGAAGUUGGGGGUGCCCAAAGCCGGCAGGGAAAUAUGCUGUCUAAGGCAAAACCAAUGACUGGGGUGAAGUCGUAACAAGGUAUC